rnacentral:ncRNA from 1 species
CAACUAAGAUACCAUCAAUUGGUAGUUAACCAAAUUGCAUUGGAGUUAUUAUUUAAUGCUACAUUGAUUAGUGCAAGUUUAGAAAGGGAAUCAGGUUAAAAUUACCGAAUUAGAAUGGGGUGGUUGACAACAACGUUAGGGAGUUUGGAGAUAGGGCCUUGUUUAUCUUUUCUAUUUAAUAGCAUGCCCACCCUAGAAUCAGCUUAGCUAGAGGUAGGGUCCAGCGGUUGGAAGAGCAUUGCAUGUCGCGUGGUGUCUGGUGUGUCCCCAAAAGACCUUAUAAAUUUGGAGGACCAAGUGCCGACUACACUUAGUUGUACUCAUAAUUGCAUCAGGUUUCCAAGGUGAACAACCUCU